rfam:Solanum lycopersicum unplaced genomic scaffold SL2.40sc06977, whole genome shotgun sequence.
UACUCUCGACAACGAAUAUCUCAGCUCUCGUAUCGAUGAAGAAGGUAGCGAAAUGCGAUGCUUGGUGUGAAUUGCGGAAUCCCGUGAACCAUCGAGUCUUUGAACGCAAGUUGCGCCUGAAGCUAUUUGGCCGAGGGAACGUCUGCCUGGGCGUCA